rnacentral:rRNA from 1 species
GACGAACGCUGGCGGCGUGCUUAACACAUGCAAGUCGAGCGGUAAGGCCCUUUCGGGGGUACACGAGCGGCGAACGGGUGAGUAACACGUGGGUGACCUGCCCUUAGCUCUGGGAUAAGCCUGGGAAACUGGGUCUAAUACCGGAUAUGACUCCAUGACGCAUGUUGUGGGGUGGAAAGCCUUGUGCGGCUGAGGAUGGGCCCGCGGCCUAUCAGCUUGUUGGUGGGGUGAUGGCCUACCAAGGCGACGACGGGUAGCCGGCCUGAGAGGGCGACCGGCCACACUGGGACUGAGACACGGCCCAGACUCCUACGGGAGGCAGCAGUGGGGAAUCUUGCGCAAUGGGCGAAAGCCUGACGCAGCGACGCCGCGUGAGGGAUGACGGCCUGGUGUAACU